rnacentral:rRNA from 1 species
AUUGAACGCUGGCGGCAUGCCUUACACAUGCAAGUCGAACGGAGUGGCGGACGGGUGAGUAAUGUCUCGGAAUCUGCCCGGUAGUGGGGGAUACCUUCCCGAAAGCGUCGCUAAUACCGCAUACUAUUGGCUGGGCCUAUAUCGGAUUAGCUAGUUGGUGGGGUAACGGCUCACCAAGGCGACGAUCCGUACCUGGUUUGAGAGGACGAGCAGACACACUGGAACUGAGACACGGCCCAGACUCCUACGGGAGGCAGCAGUGGGGAAUAUUGGACAAUGGGCGAAAGCCUGAUCCAGCCAUGCCGCGUGUGUGAAGAAGGCCUUCGGGUUGUAAAGCACUUUAAGUAGGAAGGCGGUACCUGCAGAAUAAGCACCGGCUAACUACGUGCCAGCAGCCGCGGUAAUUC